GAUGAACGCUAGCGGCAGGCUUAAUACAUGCAAGUCGAGGGGCAGCAUGAAUGUAGCAAUACAUUUGAUGGCGACCGGCAAACGGGUGCGGAACACGUACACAACCUUCCUAUAAGCGGGGAAUAGCCCAGAGAAAUUUGGAUUAAUACCCCGUAACAUAAUGAUGUGGCAUCACAUUAUUAUUAUAGCUUCGGCGCUUAUUGAUGGGUGUGCGGCUGAUUAGAUAGUUGGCGGGGUAACGGCCCACCAAGUCUACGAUCAGUAGCUGAUGUGAGAGCAUGAUCAGCCACACGGGCACUGAGACACGGGCCCGACUCCUACGGGAGGCAGCAGUAAGGAAUAUUGGUCAAUGGACGCAAGUUUGAACCAGCCAUGCCGCGUGAAGGAUUAAGGUCCUCUGGAUUGUAGACUUCUUUUAUCUGGGACGAAAAAAGGCUAUUCUUAGUCACUUGACGGUACCAGAUGAAUAAGCACCGGCUAACUCCGUGCCAGCAGCCGCCGUAAAAC
rnacentral:rRNA from 1 species